GGCAAGCGUUGUCCGGAAUUAUUGGGCGUAAAGCGCGCGCAGGUGGUUCCUUAAGUCUGAUGUGAAAGCCCACGGCUCAACCGUGGAGGGUCAUUGGAAACUGGGGAACUUGAGUGCAGAAGAGGAAAGUGGAAUUCCAAGUGUAGCGGUGAAAUGCGUAGAGAUUUGGAGGAACACCAGUGGCGAAGGCGACUUUCUGGUCUGUAACUGACACUGAGGCGCGAAAGCGUGGGGAGCAAACAGGAUUAGACACCCUGGUAGUCCACGCCGUAAACGAUGAGUGCUAAGUGUUAGAGGGUUUCCGCCCUUUAGUGCUGCAGCUAACGCAUUAAGCACUCCGCCUGGGGAGUACGGCCGCAAGGCUGAAACUCAAAGGAAUUGACGGGGGCCCGCACAAGCGGUGGAGCAUGUGGUUUAAUUCGAAGCAACGCGAAGAACCUUACCAGGUCUUGACAUCCUCUGACAACCCUAGAGAUAGGGCUUUCCCCUUCGGGGGACAGAGU
rnacentral:rRNA from 1 species